rnacentral:rRNA from 1 species
GACGAACGCUGGCGGCGUGCUUAACACAUGCAAGUCGAACGAUGACGACCGAGCUUGCUCGGUCUGAUUAGUGGCGAACGGGUGAGUAACACGUGAGCAACCUGCCCUUCACUCUGGGAUAACCUCGGGAAAUCGGGGCUAAUACCGGAUAUGAGCUCCUGUCGCAUGGCGGGUGUUGGAAAGUUUUUCGGUGAAGGAUGGGCUCGCGGCCUAUCAGUUUGUUGGUGAGGUAGUGGCUCACCAAGGCGAUGACGGGUAGCCGGCCUGAGAGGGCGACCGGCCACACUGGGACUGAGACACGACCCAGACUCCUACGGGAGGCAGCAGUGGGGAAUAUUGCACAAUGGGCGAAAGCCUGAUGCAGCGACGCCGCGUGAGGGAUGACGGCCUUCGGGUUGUAAACCUCUUUCAGCAGGGAAGAAGCGAAAGUGACGGUACCUGCAGAAGAAGCGCCGGCUAACUACGUG